AGAAAAGAGAUUCUGAAGUUGAUAUGUUGAAGGAGCAAAUUGCUUUCUUGAUGCAAAUGCAAAAUUCUAGAGACAAACAGGCAAUGGACAUAGAAUCGCCAAUAGAUGGUAGACGUUCAUCUAAGUCCAGCCACCAACCUGAUGAUCGUGGAACAACAUCAUUAAGGACUAAUUAGAUAUUUGGAUGAACUUCUAAGUUUGAUGGAGUUGUUUUGUAUUGUUAGCUACUCCACUAAUGUUUUGAAUAUUUAAACUACUUUAUUUAUUGUUUUAGUUAACUUCAAUGUAUGAAUUGGUGUUAUUUC